GUCUGACUUGUGUAAAACGCGUGAGGGAGGAAGGCUCUUGGGUCGUAAACCUCUUUUCUCAGGGAAGAACACAAUGACGGUACCUGAGGAAUAAGCAUCGGCUAACUCCGUGCCAGCAGCCGCGGUAAUACGGAGGAUGCAAGCGUUAUCCGGAAUGAUUGGGCGUAAAGCGUCCGCAGGUGGCUGUGUAAGUCUGCUGUUAAAGAGUCUAGCUCAACUAGAUAAGAGCAGUGGAAACUACACGGCUAGAGUACGUUCGGGGCAGAGGGAAUUCCUGGUGUAGCGGUGAAAUGCGUAGAGAUCAGGAAGAACACCAGUGGCGAAGGCGCUCUGCUAGGCCGUAACUGACACUGAGGGACGAAAGCUAGGGGAGCGAAUGGGAUUAGAUACCCCAGUAGUCCUAGCCGUAAACGAUGGAUACUAGGCGUGGCUUGUAUCGACCCGAGCCGUGCCGUAGCUAACGCG
rnacentral:rRNA from 1 species